rnacentral:rRNA from 1 species
CCCUUAGAUGUUCUGGGCCGCACGCGCGCUACACUGAUGCAUUCAACGAGCCUAGCCUUGACCGAGAGGUCCGGGUAAUCUUUGAAACUGCAUCGUGAUGGGGCUAGAUUAUUGCAAUUAUUAAUCUUCAACGAGGAAUGCCUAGUAAGCGUGAUUCAUCAAAUCGCGUUGAUUACGUCCCUGCCCUUUGUACACACCGCCCGUCGCUCCUACCGAUUGAGUGUGUUGGUGAGGAGUGUGGAUUGGCCUCGGAAGGUGGUUCGCCACCGUCCGUAGCUGAGAAGUUCUCCAAACCGCCCCACUUAGAGGAAGGAGAAGUCGUAACA